rnacentral:tRNA from 2 species
GACCUGGUAGCCAAGUAGUAAGGCAAGGGUCUGCAAAACCCUCAUACGCGGGUGCAAUUCCCGCCCAGGUCUCCG